rnacentral:rRNA from 1 species
AAUAUUGGACAAUGGGCGAAAGCCUGAUCCAGCCAUGCCGCGUGUGUGAAGAAGGUCUUCGGAUUGUAAAGCACUUUAAGUUGGGAGAAAGAGUUGUAGGCUAAUCGCUUGCAAUUUUGACGUUACCACCAGAAUAAGCACCGGCUAACUUCGUGCCAGCAACCGAGGUAAUACAGAGGGUGCAAGCGUUAAUCGGAAUUACUGGGCGUAAAGCGCGCGUAGGUGGUUAGUUAAGUUGGAAGUGAAAGCCCCGGGAUCAACCUGGGAACUGCUUUAAAAACUGGCAAGCUAGAGUAUGGCAGAGGGUGGUGGAAUUUCCUGUGUAGCGGUGAAAUGCGUAGAUAUAGGAAGGAACACCAGUGGCGAAGGCGACCACCUGGGCUAAUACUGACACUGAGGUGCGAAAGCGUGGGGAGCAAACAGG